rnacentral:rRNA from 1 species
AUUGAACGCUGGCGGCAUGCCUUACACAUGCAAGUCGAACGGCAGCACGGGAGCAAUCCUGGUGGCGAGUGGCGAACGGGUGAGUAAUACAUCGGAACGUGCCCGGUAGUGGGGGAUAACCCGGCGAAAGCCGGACUAAUACCGCAUACGACCUGAGGGUGAAAGCGGGGGAUCGCAAGACCUUGCGCUACAGGAGCGGCCGAUGUCAGAUUAGCUAGUUGGUGGGGAAAGGCCUACCAAGGCGACGAUCUGUAGCUGGUCUGAGAGGACGACCAGCCACACUGGGACUGAGACACGGCCCAGACUCCUACGGGAGGCAGCAGUGGGGAAUUUUGGACAAUGGGCGCAAGCCUGAUCCAGCCAUGCCGCGUGCGGGAAGAAGGCC